AGUGAACGCUGGCGGCGUGCUUAACACAUGCAAGUCGAACGAGAACGGAAUAUAGCUUGCUAUAUUUGUCAGCUAAGUGGCGCACGGGUGAGUAAUGUAUAGAUAACCCGCCCUUAAGAAAGGAAUAACAGUUGGAAACGACUGCUAAUGCCCUAUAUGCCUUUAAUACAUAAGUAUGCAAGGGAAACGCUUUAGUGCUUAAGGAUGGGUCUGUAUGGUAUCAGCUUGUUGGUGAGGUAAUGGCUCACCAAGGCUAUGACGCCUAACUGGUUUGAGAGGAUGAUCAGUCACACUGGAACUGAGACACGGUCCAGACUCCUACGGGAGGCAGCAGUGGGGAAUAUUGCACAAUGGACGAAAGUUUGAUGCAGCAACGCCGCGUGGAGGAUGACACAUUUCGGUGCGUAAACUCCUUUUAUAUAGGAAGAUAAUGACGGUACUAUAUGAAUAAGCACCGGCUAACUCCGUGCCAGCAGCCGCAGUAA
rnacentral:rRNA from 1 species